UACGUAGGGUGCAAGCGUUAAUCGGAAUUACUGGGCGUAAAGCGUGCGCAGGCGGUUAUGUAAGACAGGUGUGAAAUCCCAGGGCUUAACCUUGGAACUGCAUUUGUGACUGCAUAGCUAGAGUACGGUAGAGGGGGAUGGAAUUCCGCGUGUAGCAGUGAAAUGCGUAGAUAUGCGGAGGAACACCGAUGGCGAAGGCAAUCCCCUGGACCUGUACUGACGCUCAUGCACGAAAGCGUGGGGAGCGAACAGG
rnacentral:rRNA from 1 species